rnacentral:rRNA from 1 species
UACGGAGGAUCCGAGCGUUAUCCGGAUUUAUUGGGUUUAAAGGGCGCGUAGGCGGCCUGUUAAGUCGGACGUGAAAUCCCCGGGCCCAACCCGGGAACUGCGUCCGAUACUGGCAGGCUUGAAUCCGGGAGAGGGAUGUGGAAUUCCAGGUGUAGCGGUGAAAUGCGUAGAUAUCUGGAGGAACACCGGUGGCGAAGGCGGCAUCCUGGACCGGCAUUGACGCUGAGGCGCGAAAGCGUGGGGAGCGAACAGG